AACUGAAUACUAGAUGGGAGUCAACAAAAUUUAUUUUCUAUGCAAACUGUGAAAAAUAAAUGCACUUAUAUAGGAAUUUACCUUAUUGACUAUCUAUGUAAUUACAGAAAACCUCUCCCUUGUUUGAAAUGCAAGAUGCAAGAGCAGGAAUUAAUACAAUUCAGAUUCUGAGAAGGAGAGUAACUCAGCCGCAGAGGCUGCGGGCUGCCCCUUUGGAGGACAAGUGCUAUUUCCGGUCAUGCUGGGGAUGCACAGAGAGGAUGAAGGCGAGAGAAGCAGGAUUAGCAGGUGGGACCACUGGGAGUGAUCUAGAAGUGGAUUCAGGAAGGUCUGCUACAGAGCAGGAGGAGGUGAAGGGAGAAGACUGGGCGGAAGAAUCUCCACCGAGAAGCGCAUGAUGGGACCGAGCAGUUGGGAACGUGGCACUUGUGGAUGCACAGAAAGAGGCGGAGACGCUGGACUACAACACGUUUCGAGGCAUCACUCGUGGAAAGGGGGAUUACAAAACCCUUGUGCCAUAUUCAGGGGCUUUAGGGAAGAGGAUUAAGUUAGUUUUACGCUCUAAGGAUUUAUACAUUCACAGUCACAUCCUAACGCUUCCAGAAAUCUUCAACUUGUGCUGCAGGUGCCGGUGUGUCUGAGCGGGUAACAGGCUGAGGCUGUGGAGUAAAUCUGGCUCCUCCCCAGGUGUCUGCAAGCUGUGUAAUCCUUGGUAAGUUUCUCUCUCCCGAAGCCUGAUCUUACUGCAUGUAAAAUGAGAUCAUAUCUAACUCGCAUUAUUACAGGGAUCGAGCAAGAGUAGGCACUAACCCAGGCUAUAGUAAAUUCUACUAAUUUUAGCAGAAACCAAAACAAAAACUGGGCUAAAAAUUUCUCUUCUGAAGGACACUAUUCUUUUUUUUUUUGUACUGGAAAUUGAACUCAAGACCUUAUGGAUCCUACUCUCCAUUUCAUGUUAUCAUGAGGAAUUGAGGAAAGAAAUCCAAAUAUGCAUGUGGCUUUUCAAAAAUUGUGUUAGUUUAUUUGAAGGAUCAGUACACAGGUAUUAUGAAUCAUUUGGUCAUUAUUAUGUCCCAAGAAUUUGUAAUGCAAAAUGCAUUUACUCUACCUAUUCAAAAUUUUAAUUUUCACGGAAUAUUAAUAAAGAUACCAGGAAAAAUGGAUGAUCAUGACCAAAGAUGUCAUGGAGAGUAUAUGGGAGCCAAGAUCAGGGAGCAGUUUUCUUUGUAAAACACUUCUACUCAAAACUAAAUGAGAAUAGAAGGUAAUCUAAGCUGUUUACAACAUGAAAGCCAUGAUUCUGACCCUAAGCUGCCAUUUAGCAUACUUUGUAUCAUGGGAUCUAAAAACUAUUCUCUCCUCAACCUAUAGAAAGUUGACAUCUAAGACAGUCAAAGCUUCCUGAGAUUCAGCCCACUAUUUUCUGAUUAUAUAAAAGACGAAUAGCCAACACAGGUUUCCACAUUUUUAAGAAGACUUUACACUUAUCUAAACAUGUGUAGAAGAUGAGACGAUGUGGGAUUGUCUCCUUACAGAAAAUGUGUGUCCAGAGCUGGCGUUUGCAAAAUACUUGGUAAAACAAUCCUCUAGAUUGCACUGCAGGGGGACAGGGCCGCCGGGACAUGGCUUAUGACAUUAUUCGUACACGGGUUCUCUGUCUUCUGCUUUAUCAGAGGAUGGAACUGUUUUUGUCUCCCCAUGUUCUGCAGGUAAAUAGUUUUUAUUUUUUGAUUAGUCACCUGAUCCUCUUUUGUCUUCCCUUUAGUCUGUACUUACUUUGUCUAAUGACUUCUUGCUUUUCUGAUGCCAUUUUCUGGCUUAGUUUCCACUCAUUUAGGAGGACAUUUAGCUAACCAGCUUGCUGUUCUUUUUGCUUCUUCCUGUCCCUUCUGCUAAAUUCACCAUCUGUCCCAUUGCCCUCCCUUGUCAGAUCUAAGUUUCCAGGAAGCCAAUACUAUAGAAAUUCACACUUAGGGAAGCAGAAGAAAAACAGAGAGGGGAAAUGAUGACUUAAAAAUAUUUUUAUAAUCCUGUAUAUUUGUUUGCAUAGUUGACUGUGAAUUUCCAAGAAUGUGGAGCAGGAGGAAAGGGAGGCAAAAUUUAAUGGAGCAAUUGUAGGACAUAGACUUGCAAAGUGAAGAAAUAUGAUCUAGAGGCUUUAACAAAACACACACAGGCUGCUGCUAUUAAUAGCUGUGGCUGCAUGUGGAGCCCAUUAUGUGAGCAGAGUGUUAGGCCUCUUGGAAGUUUGCUACACCAGCAGGCCCGCUCCGAGACAUGCCCUUUAUGCAAAGACUCCGAGCUGUCAGGUUUCUACAGGUUGGCUAGAAAUGUCUGUCCCAAGGGAAGAGGGACCACACCUUGCCCUUUUUCAGGCUUGGCUUAGGCUGACCAGAACUUGGACAACGAAUCAUCGAUGUCUUAAUAGAUCUAGCAGAGGGAUUUAGACUUGGGACUUGUGAAUUUGGCAUCCUAAUUUUUGCUCUUGGCUCUUUCUCAUAGCUGCUUAAUGUCAUUCUAAAGUUUAGACCUGUACAUCAAAGAGCAAUUACAGACAGUGAAUAUAAUGUCUGAUACUGGGUGCCAAAACACAAUGGCUCUGGUCUUAGCCCAAUCCCAAAGGGAAGAAUAUAACAGUCUUCUUAAUUAUCUAAACUCCUUUCUUGAUACCAAGUUGACUUGUUUCUUCUUCCCUAUUUGGGAAAUCUGUCUCCAUCCACCUCAUCAUUCUUUGCCUUGAACUCUUUCUAUCUCCAUCUCUAAUGUUGUAGAAAGGGAGUGAGGGUUCACAGUAUGGAGUUCAUUUCUCAACUGUGACUCUUGUAAGAAAGUUCUGGAUACUGUGACCAUUUAGACAGGAAUUAAUACAUGAUUGCUGGUUAUUCUAUUACACUUAUUUUACUCAAUUCUCACCACAGCUGUGCAGGAGCUCUUGUUACUUUUCAUUCUAUAGAGAGGGAAACAGAGGUUCAGGGGUAAGAAGUUGUCCAAGAUCGCAAAACUUGUGAGUGGUAGUGUUGUCAAGAUUCGAAUGUGACUUUUUUUAUCCAUUGUACUGUAACCCGUAAAUCUAGCAUAGAUUUUCUGAGUGAUGGUUCAUUUAUCAUUGAUGUAGAGAUAGUUGUGCAAUUGCAAUGAGUACAAGAGUUUGAAGGGUGAGGAUGGAAACAUCACUGUAGGCAGUCCUUCCCUUCCCCAUUUAUUAGGGUUACCACAAACUAUCAUAGAUUUCCUAAUGUAUGCAAGUUGAAUUUCUACUUAGAUGCUGAAUUUUCUGUGUGUGACGAUUCUAUCUCAUGGAGCCUCCACAGAUAAUGUCAUGUGGCCAUGCAGCACCUAAAAAUGAUGCAGAUGACUUUAUUUUGAUAAUCAAGCUGCUCACCUUUUGCUUUUCAUCAUGCUUGUCUUUAGAUUAGCUGUGUGGCCUUGUUCCUCCCUACGCAGCCAUGUUCCUUCUGAAAGAAAGUUCCUAACUAUAGUAUUGUCACUCAGGAAACAAUUCCAUGCAUUUCUGAAAUAUUUAAGUAUGUUCUUCAAAGAUCCUUGGGAGAUUCAUCUUCCUGUUAUCUAUCAAAAUAUUAUAAAUGUAGGUAGGAGUGGUAACAUGUACAGGUCAAAUAAGCAAAGUGUUUCUUCUUUUAGUUUCUUAGAAUAAGAAUUUUUUUUACUGUAGUACUUAAAUUUAAUGUUUUAGUUGAAGGGAGAUAUCGAAGAAGAGGGGUAAUUGACCCCUCAUUAAUUUCUAGCAUUUUCCAUCACUUUGGGAUAUUAGAUGGUGACAAUCUGGUGUGAGCCAGAUGAUUCUCAAUCUGAUAAAAGACUGCAGAUAAUCUUAAAAUAUAUGAAGGUGGACAAUUUGCAUGACAUAUUUUGGUGGAGGUGAUCACCACCAAUUAGGUAUGUUAGCAAUAAAAUAAUUUCUGUUAGAACUAUAGGUGAAAGGUAUGGGGCAAACACCUCUAUGUUUGUGGGUGUGUAAAUUGGCUUCACAGCACUAAAACAAAUACCUGAGUUAACCAACUAUAGAAAGUAAACAUUUAUUUUGGCUCACAUUUUAAAGGUUAUAGUCCGUGGUAGGUGAUAUUAUUUUUUGGGGCAAGGCAGCACAUCAUGGUCCAAGUAGAUAGUGAAAUCAAACUACUUCCUUCAUGGUUCAGAAGUGAAAGAAAGAGGAAAGGAGCAGGGUUCCAUGGUCCCUCAAGGCCUGGCCCCAUGACCCACAGGUCACUCACCAUGCUCCAUCUCUUAAAGUUCCCCUAGCUCCCUAUAGGGACAAAGUCUUUUAUGUGUGGGUCUUUGGGAGACAUUUAAGAUCCAAACUACAGCAGAGUAUUUAGACAUGUAGCAGAAUUAAAUAAGCAAUAUUGGAAUUAAAUCUUCUUUCUUUAUUACAAAUACCUAUCUCUAGGAUAGAUCUCAUCUUUAGUCUUUUCCCUUUUUCUUGAAAUUAAAGAUAUUCAUCUCCGUUUUCUAUACCCUGGGACUAACUAUCUUUGAUUCUCCUGUUUUGUUGAAGAAGAGUUUAAAUUUUCAGCUUUUCCUUGGACACUGAUUUUUUCUAUUGUAGCUACCAUGAUAUGAUUGUUAUUUUUUCUGGAAAUAAGUUAAUAAGCUAUGUGAUAUAGAGGAAAGACUAUGAAUAAAACUCAAAUGGAACCAUUAGAAUCUCUUACUCAGUUGUCAGUGAUAUGGAGCUUGAGAGUGCACAACUAAUCCCAUCAUUCAGCAGGCUGAGGCAGAAUGAAUCAAGUUCAUGCAUAGUGAGUUUAAGGCCAAUCUGAACCACAGAGAGCCCCUGUAUCAAAACAAAAACAAAAAUACCCCAAACUAAAACAAGCAAUCAAUUGUUAAUGAAAUUUGACUUUUGGUUACUUUCUUUGUCUAUAAAAGGAUACAAUACCACUUACUUUAAAAGGUUGUCAGGGGGUCAUGUGAGUUAGUGAAUAUUAAACUUUAGGUCAUUGUCAGGACUGUAAUAAUUAUCUAGUGGUGUUUGUAUUGAAUUUUUUCUUUUCUUCAUUACAAUUGAUCGCUUAAUUCAGAUAAGUAUAACUGAUUGUUAUAGAAAGAACUUACACUAAAAUUACCACACUUGAGGAAAUUUUAUUCCUAUUUGAACAUGAAACACAACUGUACAAAUUUCAUUUAAACUAAAGAAAUACUAAUGGGAAAAGGAAAAGAUGCUCAAAUGUAUGAGGCAUACAGACCUCCAGCCACCUACAAUCAAAACAGAACUACACCCAGGCAUAUAAUAAUCAAGAUUCCAGAAAUCCAAUAUAAGAACAGAAUAUUAAAAGCUGUUAGAGACAAGAAACAGAUCACUUACAAGGGAACACCCACCAGAAUUACAGCAGACUUCUCGGCACAAACCAUCAAAUCUUGAAGAGCAUGGGGCGAAAUAAUCCAAGCCUUGAAAGACAAUAACCUCCAGCCAAGACUGAUAAAUUCUGCACAAUUGUCCCUAGAAAUUAAUGGAAAAACAAGGUGUUUCCAAGAUAAAGAGGAAUUGGGGGAAUUUUCAACCACCAAUCCAACUCUACAGAGAAUACUGUAGGACAUUCUAAAGAGAGAGAAAAGUGCCAGGAUUCCAUGUGGCAGAGAGGCCUCAAUGAAUGGAGCAGAAAGCAAAAUGAAGAAGAGAAACAGACAACUAAUGUCAGAAAAAGAGCACAACAAAAAUGAGGCAAAGAAGAUUGGAUAUAAUUUCUAAUAUAGAUGGCCUAUACUCUGGUUUCUCUUCAGAUUGUAUAAAUCUUUUGCCUUUUACUAAUAUAGAUGGCCUAGAUACACUAACUUAAGGGAAAAAAAGAAAGAAUCUCAGGCAGAGUGGAUCAAGAGGCAGGGUCCACCGAGAGGCUCUUUAUAGGAAAUAUAAUUAGCCUGAAGAAGGUUAUAUGGACCAAAAUCAAAUAUGAGAAAACGGAACUCAAUGUGAUAGGGAACCAGAGAGUAGUAGGGGUAACUGGGCCAGUAUUUAUGGAUAGGUUGAACAGACAGGCUUUAAUAAAUGAAGAACUAUAACUAGAAAUCCAGUCCAGGAGUGAGAAAGUUUGGAAACACUUAGGUAAAUAGCAGGUUGCCCCUCAAUAUAAAACCGUGAGUGUUGGGGAGACCCAAAAAUACACAGUUCAUUCUGGGGGAGUAAAGGGGAGGAAUAGUCUUCAAAAAAUAGCAGAAGGUAUAGCUAAUAUUGUAUCAGGAAUUAAAACCCUUAUUAAUCACACCACUCUGCUUGGUUGGAACUUGCUCCGUCCUAGUUUGUCUACAAGCACUGGAUCUGAGGGGAAAGACAGCUGUCCUGAAGAUAUCAGGACAUAGCACAGUGGUCAUCUUUAAUUUCCUAUUAACUCAAUCCGGAUCCUGUAUGACUUAUACUGUUGUAUCAUGACUGAUCUUAGUUAAAUCUGACUUGUUUUAUUGCUGCUUAUUAUUGACAGAUUUUAUUCAAACUGUUGGGUUGCUGGUAUCAAGUUGAGGAGUAUAGACAACUAUACUGAAAAUGACAGUGAUUCACCACGAUAUCCAUUCUGAUUACUACCUGUUUUUGUAGCUCUACACUAUCUACAAAGUUGUAUUUCUGUUAAUUCUGUUAUGUACUGAUAUGGUCAAUUAUACUUUAUCUAAUGAUAUAGCCAGUUCUGUUGAUGAUAACAAGAAACAGCACAGUGACCAUGGUAGAACUCCUAAUACAGCCGUUUUAUAUAUCUUUUUAGUUUUAUGUGUCUAUAGGAAUAUGUUUAGUUCUGUCCUGCUUUGUUCUGUUUCUCCCUGUAAUAUAGAAAGGAUAGUAAUACAUGUUAAGACUCAUGCUUGUGUAAAACCUAUAAACAGUUUAUGAGAACUGAUCUUAUGACACAUGAUGAAAUGAACAAAUACCUCGAAGGAAAGAAAGGGGCACUGCAGUACCCAGUGCUGAUUUUCCGGAGUGUCAUGAUGUGAAAUCCAGCAAUAUUAUUAAUCUUUGUUCAGAAAGAUUUUAAUCUAAUAAGUUUUGUUAGGUCUCAACAUAAAUGAAGAUAUAGAUAAAUGCAUACAUGUCUAAGUGUAUAGGAUUGAUAGCCACAUUACUUAGGUUUUGUUGGAUAGUUGAACAGAACUGUUUGCAGUCUCCCUGGUUGAAUUUCCAUUUAUGUGUUCCACUUUUGUAUAUUGAACAACUAUUUGUGGGGGGACAAUAUGUAUACAUCAAUUAGUGAUUUGCUACUGUUUUUUUUCUUUGAAAGUAUGUAUUAUUUCUGCCAAUUUUUUAUUUUGUUUUGUCUUUCUUUAAAUAAAAAAAGGAUCCUAUCAGGGAAAGGAUAAUGAAUGACUGGGUACACUGAGAACAAUUUAAGAUUAGAAAUCAGAAUUAAUUUAAAAAUGUAGGAGGGCAUUAUGUGAAGGCAUUCAGGAUGUGGCUCAAGGUUUGGUGAUGAUGAUGUGUCUCUGGGUCAAGGUUUUCUAGUUUUCUCAUAAACCUUAGUCACUUUCAACAAAAGCUACCUCUGGCCCUGCAAGUGGGCACCAUGCAUAGGCUGCUAGGGGAAGAAAAGAUGCCAGACUUUUUCCAUGAGUCAAUGCCAUUUGCAGACUGUGGGGAAAGAGAAAAAGAAGUCAACAAGAAGUGAGUUCUUUCUGUGAGCCAGUGCCAUGCAUGGACCCCUAGGGGGACAGCUAGAUGCCAGCCUUUCCCCCUGAAUCACCAUUUGUGGACCACAGGGGAACAAGAAGUCAACAAGAAGCAAGCUCUCCCUAUAAGUUGGUGCCUUGCACAGGCCCCUCUGGGGAGGACCAGCUGCCAGCCUUUUCCCAUGAGUUGGCACCAUUCACAGACUGCAGGGGCAGAAGACAAGAAGUAAACGAGGAGUUGGUGCCAUGCACAGGACACUGUGGGGAGAACCAGAUGCCAACCCCUUCUAGUGCAUGGACCGGAAAGCAAAAAGAGCCAAUCCCCCCUACCCCUACCAAGAGUGACCAUAUGAUCCAGAGAUACACAGGCUAUUGAGGUAAAAUAUAGCUUAAUGCUUGUAGUGUUGUAUUUCACUGACUUUGCAGGCCUAAAACCGGUAAUCUGAUCAUAUUUUUAGAAGACAACAAUACAAAAUGUGGCAUCUCUGAGGGAUCUCCUUCUGAAGGUGGUGACCAUUAUUAGUUCUCUACUACCUUGUUUUGAAGUCAUGUAUCAUUUUCAUUGUUUUGUUGGUUUGGGUUUUCUGUCUUGUCUUGUUUGUUUUUAUUAUAUCUGAUGGCAUGAGAAGCUAUUUCAAAAAUAACAGGAUAUAUUAUGGUGGCCAUUUUGGAUUUACUAUUAUCUUGUUCUGAAGUCCUUUAUUACAUUCAUUGUUUUGCUUUUAUUUGUUCUAUUCUGUUCUGUUUUGUUUGAUUUUUACUAUGUCUGAAGAUAUGGACAGUUAUGUUGAAGACAAGAGGCAUUAUGGUAACCAUUAUUGAUUUCCUAUUAUCUUGUUUUGAAGUCCUGAGUCACUUACACUGUUUUGUUUUAUUGACUUUAUUCUGUUUUAUUUUGCUUUGCA